UUGAAAAUAUUGGUUUUUCCUGAUACAACAAUGCAACGGAAGGCUAUAAUACUAUAUUCUAAGUGUAAAUUAACUAACUAAAAUAAGACGAUGUCAUAAUCGGGAGUUUUCAACAUUAAAAAUGCUAUGCACAAUCGGGCAACACUGUACCGCGCAGACUCUACUUGACUUAAUUUAAGUCGAUCAAUAAUCACGGAAGAAGAAGGAGACAAUAUGGCGAGAUGUCAAAUUUGAAAUAAAAUAAACAAACAAGAAUCAAUGCCCAGUGGACUACAUGAAUUUUAAAUUUAAGAAGCCUGUAAGAGAUACACUUUAAGGGUCCCAGCAUUUUUGCGUUUCGAGAUGCCACUUGCCGCCUACAAAAACUCCAAGGAACGAUAAACACUCCUGUCUACUGUUAUAAAAAGGUAUGCAAAGGG